AACGAACGCUGGCGGCAGGCCUAACACAUGCAAGUCGAGCGAGGACUUCGGUUCUAGCGGCGGACGGGUGAGUAACGCGUGGGAAUGUGCCCUUCUCUACGGAAUAGCCCUGGGAAACUGGGAGUAAUACCGUAUACGCCCUUUUGGGGAAAGAUUUAUCGGAGAAGGAUCAGCCCGCGUUGGAUUAGGUAGUUGGUGGGGUAAUGCCCUACCAAGCCGACGAUCCAUAGCUGGUUUGAGAGGAUGAUCAGCCACACUGGGACUGAGACACGGCCCAGACUCCUACGGGAGGCAGCAGUGGGGAAUCUUAGACAAUGGGGGCAACCCUGAUCUAGCCAUGCCGCGUGAGUGAUGAAGGCCUUAGGGUUGUAAAGCUCUUUCAGCUGGGAAGAUAAUGACGGUACCAGCAGAAGAAGCCCCGGCUAACUCCGUG
rnacentral:rRNA from 1 species